AGUGAAUCCACAACACAAACAUCACGAUGUAUAGUGGUUCGGUGCACCCCAAGGCACCUACGUCCACUCCCCAAGCGUCCCCUUGGGAAUUUUACUAUAAUCCCUCAGAUUACAGUAGGAUUGUUUUUCGGGCUCACAAUCCAAAACCUUUACAAUUUGGUUUUCGGGGAUCACCAAUAACCUACGUUGGUUUUGCGGGCUCACUAACAACCUAACGUUGGUUUUACGGGGUUACCAACAACCU
rnacentral:lncRNA from 1 species